UUCUUCUUCUAUUACAUCACAUCAGAGUGCUGGACAAAAGUUUACGGAACACGCUACGGAGUAUAUCUUCCUCAGCGUGACAUGCCAGCAGCAAAUGGCACCUAUAGACUUGCAAACAGAUGAUUGGGUUACCUAGGCACAUGUCUGUAAGUUCAUGCAGCCCCGUUAGCUGCCUGCGUGUCACUCUGAGGAAGGCGCCGGAGCGUGUUCCAUAAACUUUUGUGUAGCACUGUACUAGCAUCAAUAAAUUUUCCACCCCGUAUGAUUCAAACCAUUCAUUUUCCUAGCACUAUUUUUGUUUGGCAUACGAAAUGGUUAAUUAGCAAAAAUAUUUGGCAUAUGAUAGCAUCAUAUAUCGCCAAUCUCAUUGCCUAUAUUUAUGUUGCAAAUUAUUUCACAGCAGAAGUAAUUUAUCUCUUUGCUCAUCUGGUGAGGGAGAUCAAUUUGACCUGUUCACUUGUCGGUGUCGCUUAAGACAAAAAUGAUCUAUAUCUGACAAAAAUGCUCAAGAAAAACCCAUUCAAGUUCCAGUCCUGCUGUAUCACGGUGAAGGGACGUGCCUGUCCAGUAAAUGACCGCAUUGAAACAUCACGAAGACUUCAACCUGAAGUAUGUUGCAUUGGUUAGGGAACGCUUUAGGUGCUGUUAAUCACUUUAGAUCCUAACUGUUUGUUUGUGUUGUUUCUAGGCAUAUGAUUAUGUUCCAUGUACAUAGCGUGUAAUGUGCAUUGUAAUGUUCAAUUUCUGCUCUGUAUCAGAGGCACAAUAAAUGUAUGUUUUUUAAACAUACUGUUUUACAACA